CGACCUCAAAUCAGGUAGGAUUACCCGCUGAACUUAAGCAUAUCAAUAAGCGGAGGAAAAGAAACCAACAGGGAUUGCCUUAGUAGCGGCGAGUGAAGCGGCAAUAGCUCAAAUUUGAAAUCUGGCACUUUCAGUGUCCGAGUUGUAAUUUGAAGAAGGUAUCU
rnacentral:ncRNA from 1 species